rnacentral:lncRNA from 1 species
CAUUAAGGUGCUCGAUAAAUUGCGUAAGUCACGAAACUCUCGUCGACUUCGCAGUUCUUGCGAUUAUCGAGCCAGGUUCAGUUAUAGCGAGUUAUCUCGCUAUUCCGGUCAAUUAGUUGAAUUAGUAUACCGAGUAGAAUAUUAGUAGGCCUGUGGGGUGAUGGAAUAUUUUUAUCACUUAUAAAGAUGAAGUAUAAUUUAUAAAGCAAUGGAUUAGUUCAGAAUUUAAUUAAUUAACUGAUAAAUUGUGAUUAGGCUAAUUGUAUUUCAUGUGGAUAGUUUGUUGUUCGUGAUGUUUGCGAUAGGUUCGAGAAGUGUAAUUAUUGCGCUUAAUUGUACGUCGAUAAUUAGUGCCUCCGUAUGAAAUUGUUCAACGCCUCGCCCUUAGGUGUUUAAUACGCUAUCGUAUAGCACUAUUUAGAUUUGCGCUAUUCAUGUUUAUAUGCAUUCAUGUGCAUAAUGCAUUUCAUUCAGGUACGUGAAUUAACCACGCAAUGCGGAGAACUAGAACUGAGUCAACCACAAGAUGGUACUGAUGAAUGGAACUGAAGAUGGACAGACGAAACAAGUAUCAGAACAAAAGAUGAUCGUCAAGUGGACGUCGCCUAACAAACACUAACCUAGUGUUACCCAGGCAAGCCCCGGUGCAUGCAACCCCUUCCUUGUGUUUUUAAAUAAUUUUUGCAUACUUUAAGUCUAGUGAAAUGUGCAUUAGGUUUAUAGGAGUUGCUUGGAACCCUUUGAUGCAUUGCCUUCCUUGAUAUCCAUACCUUUAUAGAUACUUCUGGUGAAGUAUCAAAAAUAUGAUUUACAAAAAUGCUUAGCCCUACUUAAAUCUUGUGGAUAGAGGUUGUCUUUUGCAAUACUUCCUAGCUCAGGGGUUAUCCUGAGGAAGGAUGACUUCUACCUGCAAGAAUAUAUUUUCAUUGGGAGCAUGGUGGGAUCUUACUGCAAAGUUCCCUGUGAUGCUCUUUUCAUCCUAAGGAACACAAACAAUCCUAAGGAUGGAAGUACUUAAAUCGGGACUUGGGCUAGGAACAGGUGAUGUUCUACCCAGGUUGAUUAAGGAUUGGAUGCGUAUGUAGGCUUGCUAGAUCAAGGACUAUCUUAACUAGCCACAUACCCUGGAAAUGGGACAGGGUAAGCUUUGCCUCGGGCAGACUAAGGCCAGAAUAAGAUAACACGGAAUGGGCGUGGAGCGGUGGCGAGAGUAGCGUGUACCCUCCGUGGCAAGAGGCUGGACGGUGGUGUAUCUGUGCUCUCGGUUGGCGUGAACCUGAUCUGGUCUUAAGAACCCUGGGGUCGAGUUGACAUAUGCAAGGGUUAAGUGCUACAUAUGUCGUGUGGUUAGAGAUCCUCAGCUGAGUAAAUCGAUUCAGAUCGCCGUUAUAUCCCCGGAGAGUGGAGACUUGAUCACUGACCUGCAACCUAAGUCGGGAUGUGAACCUCAUGAAUAAAAAUGAUGUUGUAUUGAUGAGAUGGUGAAAUUAGACCAGAUGCAAACAGAGUCUAUUAAUACUUAAUUUGGCGUUAAAAUAUUGAAAGUAAGGACUCAUUUUAGUAAGCUAUUUCUGCAAAAGUAUCUAAGUUGAUUCUUGCUAAAGCCUCUCCUUGAUUCCCAAUUGCGGCAUACCCUUGAGAGUCUUUUCUUUAGUCGGGUAUGUCUUGCUGAGUAAUUCCAUACUCAGGGUUUUAUUCCCUGUUGUUUUUUAGGAUAUAACUUUGUGCUGCUGUGAUGGUGUUAAGUGCCGGUGGGCUCGGCCUUCUUAUAUAAGUAUACCCCAUCUUUAUCUUCUUACUGAGGAUGGUCAUUUGAGCUAGCAUAUAUUUCAAACUUAUACUCUUGUAAUCACUCUGAUAAAAUAUUGUAAAAUUUUUGUAACCUGUAAAAUUUGGUAAUAAGAUUUCCGCUGCUAAAAUGUUGUGUGUGUGAUUUGUGUUACUUAAUCCCGCGGUUCUGGUUGUAAGUGGUUUAUCCGAUGUCCUUGGGGCAAUCAGACGGAUCCUGUUAAGUUAUCUGGUGCACAUGCAUAGCAGUCUAAGGUCUUUGAGACAAGGACAGGUGCAUGUGGGCCCAACAACUUGGGAGGUUCCGCCACAGCUGGUAUCGGAGCUAGAUUAAGUAUAUACGGUCACAGACGUAUUUUCAAAACAAAAGUUUUGGUUUUGAAAAACCUAUUUUCAACUAAACACAUUGUUUGGCUUUGAAAAACAGUUUUGAAAAACUAUAAUGCUAGCGACAUCCUCUGUUAAGCCCUAAACUAAGGAUUAUCAGGUGGCUUAGUUGAAAACCGUAACCCAUAACCGGGUGGGUAUUGCAUACAUGUGUAUUGUUAUUUUUAAGGCCAUUCAGUUUUGAAUGGAUCGACGCUCUAGGUAGGGUGAGAUGUGAGAGCAUGACCGAACAAACGUCGGUCUAGGGAAGUGCUUAAUUAUAGCGCUUGAUUAUAUACAUGUUCUACAUAUGUAUAUACGAAAGCUGCGAUGUGGAGUAAUUAUUUUUCUGGGAAUUCAGUACCCCAUGGUUGUAUGGGUAUACAGACAUGGGAAUACUGAGAAAUGUAAUGUACUUGUAACGACGCACCUACGCUUAGGUAAGAAGGUGAGUUACCAUAAUGAGUUGCCCUAUGGUUAAAGUGUGGCAACAGCGCCUAUGCAUGGCUCGGCGCUUAAUGAUGAGCUGGCCUCCAUAUAGCAAUAUAUGGAGUAUAAACUGUGAUAAACUGCCAUGUGUGAACUGCAUCAUGGGAAUUGGGCUGCAAUGAAAUUUUCUGCAGGUACACUAACCUCGAAAACGUAUGUGUAGUUGACGACUAGCAAAAUACCGAGAGAGAACGUAUGCCACCGACAUAGAACGUUAUUGCCACAGUGUGUUGGCAAAAUCAGUGAGGACGCAUAGGACGAGCAUGCAUCCUGAUUGUUGCAUCAUGUUUGUCACCUAUACACCCAAAUUGUUUCUCUCAUCCCUAUUCCAGUAACCAUUGAUUGUAAAUAAUGUGGUGUAAUGCUGAGUUAUGAACCUCAAUGAAAUAGAUGUCCUCCAUUCUUAGGUAAUAUGUUUAGGUGUUAUAUGUGUUUGCUCUGGUGCUUGAUGUACUGAUAGAAGGUUAGUAGUUUGUUUGCUUAAACCGAAAACUAGGCCAUGUUCUUAGUUGGUGAACCAUGACCCAAGGUUGAUUUUUCCGUUAUCCCUCCAUGACCUAACUCAUGCAAAUAAAUGCUUAGAUAACUUCUUCGUUGGACAUAAAGUGAACCCAGACCUAAAACAAGAAUCUCGAGUCAUGUCUCCAUCCUAGACCAUGCCCUUAUUCGAUUUGUGCAAGCUGAUGUCUCUAUUCCAGUUUGCCUGUUCUUAAGGAUCGCCAUGUUGCUUUUUCAACCUAACCUAGGAAAAGCAUGUCCGACCAUUUUCUUGAAUUUGGUGCCUUUGAUUUUCUCAUAUCUAUCGAAGGCAUACCAACUUCAUCUUGUGAUUAUUUUCCCUUUGUAUCUGAUCUGAUACUAAUCCUUGACCUUGUAAUUUCUAUGAUGGGCAUAGAAAUAUGCUUGGGCUGAAAUAACAGUCUCCCAUCGUACUUUUUCAUUAAGUUUAGGUUAUGGCCAAGCCUUGUUCAUUUUCUCGGGCCAUGAUCUAUUUGGCUCUCUACUUGUAACCCUUCUUACAGGUGGAGUCUCUUUUCUAUAUUGUCAUAUUUGUGCCGCGUGAGAUUUCUUAUUGGUUAUGUCUGGUAAUGGUGUUAUGGCUAAAACCGGUGGUGCAGUGACGAAACCGAGGGCCUUCUGUGUGUGCGCACACAUGGUUGUACUGCUCGGCACGCGCUGGUAUCACAGUUAGUAGUUGUAAUCCAUUAUGAGACUAUGUCAAUACGUUAUCUUGACACAAUCUGUUUUUGCUACGUGAGAUUUAUUAUUAGUGCCAGUUUGGUAAUGGUAUCAUGAUUAAGGACUUAUGGUGCCGCAGCGAAACUGAGAGCCCCUUGUGAAUGUACAUGCAAGGUUAUGCUGCUUGGCGCAUGCGGGUAUCGAGGUCUCUAGUCAGGAUCCAUUGCGGAACUACACUAAUAUAUUAUCUUCCGUAGAUCUCUUCCUUGAAACGAUUUUGGUGUUGUUUGUCGUAGUGACCAAGCAACAUCUAUCAUCUCUGUUGGAUCAAGAGGGCAUACCACUUUCAUGUGUGGUCUCUUUUCCUUGACUUUGAUGGUGACUACACUCAUAUAAGUUCCCUUCACGUCCUUGUGUAAAGGUGAAGCCUUGGGGCUUUUUAGUGUUGGAAAACAACUGAUUAGCUCUCAAAAUAGAAAACAUCUGAUUCUGUUGGGGUAAAAUCACGUAUUUGCCACUUACCCAAUAGACUCAGAUAGUACAGUGUCAUCAGAAAAAGCAAACUGCACACAUGGAACCUUAUGUGUUCUUCUGGCAGACAUCGUCUCUAUUGGUGGACAUUUCUAAAUUAGCCUAAGGCAAUACAUGUUAUGUCCGCUAGAGAAACCACAUCCUGAGACACUCGCCUUCGCUCAAGACUGUCUUAGGAUUAUCGCUGAUAUGGGCAUGGGAUUACCUACUUCUCCACUCUUGAAAGUCUUUCGCUCCGAAUCUCGGGACGAGAUGUUUUUAAGGGGGGAGGGUUGUAACACCCCAGGUGUUUAUAUUCCGCUCGACAACGAGUACAGAUUUAAGCACGCAAUAUCAGUAGAUAAAACGGAUUUUAAAUUUUAAUCAUCCUCGCUUAUCGCGAUUUUAAUAUCGCAUCUGUUCCGUUUGUCGCGAGUGCGACAUUAUUUUUAUUGCUAUCUAUCCGGGCUCCUCCUAAAUAUUCAUGAUGUUCGGAACAUCGUUGUUUCAAAAAUCGGUGCGUCCGGUGAUUAUUUAAAAAUUCAUCGCUCACGCAAAUCCGAAUUCGGAAGCCCGAUUCACUCGAAUGAUUUUUAUCCCGGACAGAUUAAUUUGAACUCGACGACUAAAAUACUCGGUGCAAAAUAAUCCGAAUCACGCGUCGUCUGAGUGAAAUCGUGCACGCGAAUAUGAUUCAAUUUAUCUGUCUGCACGCUGUUUCGACGACGAAAUCGCGUAUACGUUCGCAGAUAUGGUUCCGGCUAAUUUCAGCCAAAUCACGGAGCAAACCAAUCUAAAUCGCGCACUGCCCGAGAGAAAUCUUGCGCGAGAUAAAUAAUCAGGAGUAUUUGGUAAUAGAUCGAUUAAAACAGAUAAAGAUAAUUAGAACCGGACUCGAAUAAUUUCUAAUCGGUUUAACUUCAACGAAAUCAGUCGUAAAUUAAAAUACCAAAGCCGAAAUUCGUGUAGUUCGGUUCGUGUGUUCUCGUCUCGAUCUGAAUAUCCUGAUAUAAAUAACGGGUAAAAAUUCAUCUAACUCUGGAGAAUUUACCAAAUCAAAUGGUAUCCAAAAUCAUGUUGUCAGACUUUGGGUUUUGGAGUUGGUACAUUUAAAUAAACCUAAAUUUCAGUGAGUUUGCUCAACUUUGGAGCUUUCUUGUGACUAAUCUGUGAUGUUAUUGUCUACAAUCUCUAUAGCAAAGUGUUAGAGGGUAGUGUGGUGAGCAGUCUCUGUUAAGCUGGAUCUCCCUGAAUUUGCUUAGAAUUGGGAGAAAAUGUUGUUCUUAGUUGAGCUGUCCGGCAAGUUGUGCACUGAACAUUGUUCAGUUAGCUGGUACAAAAUCAGUGUUUUCGUCUCGUUUUGGAGCACAAUAACUCUUAAUCCGUGAGCCUUAGGCCUUGGAUUGCUGCAGAAAAUUUGUAGAUCUAUAUUUUGGGAAUAAGUUUAGUUAACUUAGGUUGGUCUUUUAUUGCUUGGAAUAGUGAGGUUUGAAGGGGUAGAAAUGAGAGUUCAGACGGUUUGUUUUGAGUUCAGUUCAAAUGGUUGCAGCUUGGUUCAGUUUUGGGGAGCAGAAAAAUCCCCACGUCUCUGCUAUGCUCCACUUGUAGCAGUUUGGAUUGAGGCCAUGGAUAAAAGUAGGAUUCGAUGCUUCCAGUGCCUAAGUAAUUUAUGCUUGGUGUUUAUCCAUUGCCGGUGCCCAUCCUGUCUACCUGUCUCUGGUUUGUGUGUGACUUAGGUUCACUGCUCUACCGUGGAUUCGAUCGGGCAUGGUGCUUGUGCCGUGAAGCCGCGUGUGCAGGUUUAAGCAGCUGCUGGCACCAUCGAGGUCCUUCCCUGCUGUGAUCAGGACAACUUCAGCCAACACCUAUUUCUGUAACUCGUGGCCAUGGUUCUCUAGGUGUGUAGCGCUCCUCCACGCGCUCAGGCGCGUCCUCCACGUUCGGCGUCUUACUGCCCCUCGUGCGCGCUCGGCCUUACCUCCCCUGACCACAUUGCUCUCUCCAACUCUCGAGUGUCAUCUUCCCUAGCGGCUGGUCGUGCCUCUAUCCUACUCCGACGUUCACCGGCGCGCAUGCUUUGCCCCUGCUUGCCGGUCAUCCCUGCCCCAGCGCCUGCUUCAUCCAUGGCCGGCUCUUUGCGUCGGCCUCCUCUGCAAACUCCCUGGCGCUCGAUGCUCUCUGCGCACGCUGGUUCCAGUUCGGCCGACUGCGCAGACUUUCUUCUCCCUGGCUAGAACUCUUUCUUCGGCCAUGGCGCGAUCGAGCUCCUCCCUGCUCGCGCUGUCGUCUCGCCUGUUCGUCCCUGCGCGCUCGCCCAUCCGGGCUCUGCCCAGCGCCGUGGCUUCCAGCUCGCUCUCCAGCCUUCCUCUUUCCUGCGCGUGCGUUCCGUUAUUCCUGCGCGUGCUGCCGCAAAGCUCUUUGCUCGUCAACGCUCCAGCCCGGAUUUCGCUUUGUCGCCCAGCUUGGCUCUACAUCUCCCAUGGCUGUCUGCUCUAGCUCGCCGUAAUCCCUGCGCGCGUCGAGUUUUCGUGUGGACCUCUCUGCUCACGCGCAGCUCGCUCUUUCUUUGUUGCCGCGCGCAUGAAUUUUAUCUACUCGCCACAGCGUGUCGAGUUCCCACACCAUCAUCGCUUCUGUCGCAACCUCGUUGGCCACAGUUAUCUUGACCGCAUUAGCUCGCGAUUGUGGUCGUGUUCAUCGAAUUCGCCAACGCUUUGUUGCCGAUUCGACUGUCGUCGCUUCGCGUGUUGUCGAGCCCGUCGUUUUCUCUGCCUUGUGCUCGCGCGGUUUUCUGCUCGCCAGCGUGCCCUCGGCUCGCUCGGCUUUAAUUCCCAAUCGUGUCGUCGAUCUCGUUGUUUGCCAUCGAGUCGUCAAAAACGUCAUCCCCGGCUCGAUCCCCACCUCACCAGCUUACCCCAGACUUCAAUCGAAGAUCGUCGUCAUUCGUGCAUCCCCAAGAAAACCCAAGAAUCGGGUGAAGACGAAGUUAGCAGCGCGAUAUUUUCCAAGCGCUCAACCAAUUGCCUAGAUCGGAAAAUCGCUACCGAUCUCGCGGAUUCGUGUCAGCUGUGGAAACGGUAAGAUGAUAAAUUAUUCAGAAUAGUUCGAUCAUUGAAUAAAUUAAUGUGCUAGUGCGAUGCUCAUUAAGGUGCUCGAUAAAUUGCGUAAGUCACGAAACGCUCGUCGACUUCGCAGUUCUUGCGAUUAUCGAGCCAGGUUCAGUUAUAGCGAGUUAUCUCGCUAUUCCGGUCAAUUAGUUGAAUUAGUAUACCGAGUAGAAUAUUAGUAGGCCUGUGGGGUGAUGGAAUAUUUUUAUCACUUAUAAAGAUGAAGUAUAAUUUAUAAAGCAAGGGAUUAGUUCAGAAUUUAAUUAAUUAACUGAUA